UAGGGAAUCUUCGGCAAUGGACGAAAGUCUGACCGAGCAACGCCGCGUGAGUGAAGAAGGUCUUCGGAUCGUAAAACUCUGUUGUUAGAGAAGAACAAGGACGUUAGUAACUGAACGUCCCCUGACGGUAUCUAACCAGAAAGCCACGGCUAACUACGUGCCAGCAGCCGCGGUAAUACGUAGGUGGCAAGCGUUGUCCGGAUUUAUUGGGCGUAAAGCGAGCGCAGGCGGUUUCUUAAGUCUGAUGUGAAAGCCCCCGGCUCAACCGGGGAGGGUCAUUGGAAACUGGGGGACUUGAGUACAGAAGAGGAGGGUGGAAUUCCAUGUGUAGCGGUGAAAUGCGUAGAUGUAUGGAGGAACACCAGUGGCGAAGGCGGCUCUCUGGUCUGUAACUGACGCUGAGGCUCGAAAGCGUGGGGAGCAAACAGG
rnacentral:rRNA from 1 species